AGAGCGAACGCUGGCGGCAGGCCUAACACAUGCAAGUCGAACGGACCCUUCGGGGUUAGUGGCGGACGGGUGAGUAACACGUGGGAACGUGCCUUUAGGUUCGGAAUAGCUCCUGGAAACGGGUGGUAAUGCCGAAUGUGCCCUUCGGGGGGAAAGAUUUAUCGCCUUUAGAGCUGCCCGCGUCUGAUUAGCUAGUUGGUGAGGUAAAGGCUCACCAAGGCUACGAUCAGUAGCUGGUCUGAGAGGAUGACCAGCCACAUUGGGACUGAGACACGGCCCAAACUCCUACGGGAGGCAGCAGUGGGGAAUCUUGCGCAAUGGGCGAAAGCCUGACGCAGCCAUGCCGCGUGAGUGAUGAAGGCCUUAGGGUUGUAAAGCUCUUUUACCCGAGAUAGAUAAUGACAGUAUACGGAGAAUAACGCCCCGCUAACCUCCGCGCCAGCAGCCGC
rnacentral:rRNA from 1 species